rnacentral:lncRNA from 1 species
GGAAAGGGGAAGUUGUCCCUGAACCAGCUUGGCCAUCAAUUUUUGAGACUGACCUGCUUUUUGGAAAAGUAUUUGGAAAAUAUUUCGGAGUGUAAAAAGAACUACAUAGGGCUGGGGAUAUAGCUCAGUUGGUAGAGUGCUUGCCUUGCAUGCAUAAGCCGCCCCCCCCCCCCAGCACCAUCCAAACCAAACCAAACCAAACAAAAACUACCUAAAAGGUCUCUACUCAGUAACCACCAGCUCAGCCAGGGGUCUAAGCGGUGUUUAGGAGGGUAUCUCUGUCCAUGUGACCAUGGGAGUCUGUACUGAGCAUUUGAAAGAUGACUUGUUUCUUUCAGGCAAGGUGACCUUGGAAGGAAUCUGCAGAAUGGGUGUGAGGUGUCCUUUGGUAGAGUUUUAUUUUUUAAACUGAGAUCAGUGGCCUGGCAUCUGGGGGGAGAGUGGAGGAAGCUGCAAAGCCCCUGAAAGUGAAUGCAAAACAUGCCUGUGCACAGGUGUGUUGUUCUAAGGCUGUAGCCUCUUCAGGUUUUCUAAAGAACCUGUUUCCUCAUCCAGAUAGCUACAGAGAUCUGGCCAGAAAUUGGCUGGGAGCCAGCACACUGACCUACCCUGGUGGCAGGUCUCUGGAAGGGGACAGAAAAAUAGCAGUCCUAAAAUAGCUUAGAAACUGCUGGUCCCUCAUUUAUGCCCUCAGCCCUUCUCUAUGGUUCUCAGAGGCAAAUUCUAAUAGAAGGGGUGAAAGCCAGUAGGUGCCAUCACAGUAUUUUAAAUAAAAAUAUAGCGUGAUAAAGAGCAAAAUUAGAGAAUUGGGGCACAUAAUGAGGAGAGGAACUGGAGGGGGCCUCCCCAAGCAAAUCCCGAAAUGUGAAUGUUGGAUAGAAAUAAGAUUCUUCCUGUCUUCCAGCUGUUAAACAGCUCCCCCUUCCUUCCUCCCUUUUGGUGCCAGGAAGGGGCCAGAGGGCACCCCAUCAUCACCAUUAUGUCACUUUUAACCCCGGUCAGGUCAGGGCAGAGUGGGACUGCCUGCAACAGUUAGCCUGUCAGAAAAAAAAAAAAAUUUUUUUUUAAAUGAUAGAAGACAGCCUGAUUAUUUUC